UACGAAGGGGGCGAGCGUUGUUCGGAUUUACUGGGCGUAAAGGGCGCGCAGGCGGUUCUGUUUGUCGAGUGUGAAAGCCCCGGGCUCAACCUGGGAACUGCGCUCGAAACGGCGGAACUAGAGUUCGGGAGAGGAGAGUGGAAUUCCCAGUGUAGAGGUGAAAUUCGUAGAUAUUGGGAAGAACACCGGUGGCGAAGGCGGCUCAUCUG
rnacentral:rRNA from 1 species